rnacentral:rRNA from 1 species
UACGUAGGGGGGCGAGCGUUGUCCGGAGUUACUGGGCGUAAAGCGCACGCAGGCGGUCGCGUAAGAGUGCGGGGACAGUGGGCGGCUUAACUGCCCAAGGGUCGCACAGACUGCGUGACUGGAGGGCCAGAGAGGGACCUGGAAUUCCGGGUGGAGCGGUGAAAUGCGCAGAUAUCAGGAGGAACACCAAUGGCGAAGGCAGCACUCUGGGACGGUACUGACGCUGAGACGCGAAAGCGUGGGGAGCAAACAGG